rnacentral:rRNA from 1 species
GACGAACGCUGGCGGCGUGCUUAACACAUGCAAGUCGAACGGAAAGGCCCUGCUUUUGUGGGGUGCUCGAGUGGCGAACGGGUGAGUAACACGUGAGUAACCUGCCCUUGACUUUGGGAUAACUUCAGGAAACUGGGGCUAAUACCGGAUAGGAGCUCCUGCUGCAUGGUGGGGGUUGGACAGUUUCGGCGGUUGGGGAUGGACUCGCGGCUUAUCAGCUUGUUGGUGGGGUAGUGGCUUACCAAGGCUUUGACGGGUAGCCGGCCUGAGAGGGUGACCGGCGACAAUGGGACUGAGAUACGGCCCAGACGCCUACGGGAGGCAGCAGUGGGGAAUAUUGCACAAUGGGCGGAAGCCUGAUGCAGCAACGCCGCGUGCGGGAUGACGGCCUUCGGGGUGUAAACCGCUUUAGCCUGUGACGAAGCGGGAGUGACGGUAAUGGGUAAAGAAGCACCGGCUAACUACGUG